rnacentral:rRNA from 1 species
GCGUCAGUAUUCAGCUGUCAGAGGUGAAAUUCUUGGAUUUGCUGAAGACUAACUUAGGAUAGCAUUCGCCAAGGAUGUUUUCAUUAAUCAGGGAACGAAAGUUAGGGGAUCGAAGACGAUCAGAUACCGUCGUAGUCUUAACCAUAAACUAUGCCGACUAGGGAUCGGACGGGAUUCUAUGAUGACCCGUUCGGCACCUUACGAGAAAUCAAAGUUUUUGGGUUCUGGGGGGAGUAUGGUCGCAAGGCUGAAACUUAAAGAAAUUGACGGAAGGGCACCACAAGGCGUGGAGCCUGCGGCUUAAUUUGACUCAA